rnacentral:snRNA from 1 species
GUACCUGCUUCGCAGUUCAUAGGCUAAAAUUGGAAUGAUACAGAGAAGAUUAGCAUGGCCCCUACGCAAGGUUGACAUAAAUUCAUGAAGCAUUCUAUACUUUU